ensembl:lncRNA
CCAAAAGCAAUAAAGCUUUAAAAUGCUAAAAGUCCAGAGCAUUAAAAGUAUAAGUUUGUCAUUAAACAAUCAAAAGUUUUGUGAAAAGAUACAAAAACCAAACUAACAGAUGUGAAACCAUCCUGCCGACUCUUGCUGGUGUUCAGCCUUUUGAUAGCUUCUACAAAACAUGUCACUGUGAUGGGAGCGUCGCAUUUUUGGUUGCUUUACUAAACCUCUUAUCAGCUUUACCUCAAACAAUCAAUCCAAUUUUCCUUUGAUCAUUGUUUUCAAAGGUCGGCCUCACUUCGCCCCGCCCUCUUUAACCAGAAAGUACCACUUUGAUUGGUCCAUAUCAACUUCCGCCUUUCAAACUUGCGUUCAGACGGUACCAGUUGUUGCACAUUAAGCUCAAACAGUGGUGAACAAAAACGUUUUUAGCAUUAAUAAAAUACUGCGCGAAGCUCUAACUGAGAGUUUUAAAUUUAUAGUCGGAGCACUUGAGAUUUGCUCACUAAAGCGACCAUGAAAGGAGUAGCUAAAAACAAGGUGGUGACAUCGGGAAGGAUGACAGGAAGAGGCAAAACUCAGCCUACGCAAAAACAGUUGAUUCCAAACCCCAGGUUGGCAGCCAUUCCUGAGCCAGCCUACAGCUUGUACUCUUCAGUCUCUCAAGACCAGGUCACUUUUCUCCAUAAGGGUUUAGACCGAUGUGCUGCCUUGCUCGGUGGCAUCCUUCAAGCCGAUGAAUCAGACUUGCCAGGUGAUCUGGGAGAAGCAAAGGAGUCAGCAGUCAAAUCAAAACUGGGGAAAAAGUUUGCAAAGAAAGCUCCAGCAGCCCCUCAUCGACCUGCCGGCACAACUCUAAGAACAAGGCAACACCCCAAAGUUCCAGCUGCCCAUUCAGGGGUUAAGCUGCAUCCAACUCAAAAAAGAUUUCAAACAGAACUUUUACAGCUUCAAACGCCGCGUCACACGCCCUCAACAUCUCCGCAUCACACCCCCUCAAACCCUGCGUCACACUCCAAAGUGGUAGGCAAGUCGGGGGCUGAAUCCAAAAACAUGUCCUUUUGGGAACAGGGUGCUUGUGGAGGAGAUGACCUUAUUCCUGUGAGAGACAUCGAUCCUCAAAUCGCCAGUUUGAAGGUGUCAAAAAUGCAGCAAAAGAGGAAACUGGCUGAAAAAGUGAACAAGUCCCACAGCCCUGAUGACAGGAGUGCAGAGGGAGACGAGAAAAUGCAGACAUUUCAGUACCUGCUGAGAGAACUCAAGGCCCUGAUGAUUGGAGAAGGAAGUGUUGCAGAAUUGCUGCUCCGUCAUUUGGAGCAGAUGGUGUCAUCAUCUUUGGUAAGCAACCAGGGUGAAUCAGAGGCGUCAUUUCUGCAGAACCAGAACUAUCAGCUCCGCAGAUAUGUGGAGAUGCUGCAGCAGCAGUUGAAGCUGAGGGAGAAAGCAAAGGAUGGCACAGUGGAAAGACUGAGCCACUCUGAAGCAAGCGAGAUGCAGCAGGAGUUGAACACAGCUCUGUCACAACUGCGGGAACUCCAGGACAACCUGAGUGAACUCCAAAAGGCCCACCAAGUCACACAAAACCAGCUGAGAGACAAGGAGACCAUUAAUGCACUUAUCAUGUCAGAGUUGGAAGCAGCUCGACGCCAGUUGCUGGUCAGUGACAGAGAGAAGAGUGAGUUGGCCACGCUGUGCGAUCAAAGACUCGAAGAGCUGGAGCACUUGAAGGGGGUUCCUCCAAGUCCUUCAGCAUCAGAUUGCACCUUAGUUGACAGCACAGUGGCAAACAGUCAACACCGACACGACCCGGAGCUAUCAGAAGGCGCCUCUGAACGCAUCACCCGUUACCUCAUGUCCCUGAACCAGGCAAAAUCCACAGUGAAUGAUGGACCCCAGCUUAACAGCCAGACCACAGGUCCGCCAGAUAGGCAACCUGCAGAACAUUCGGGCUGCCACAAUCCUCACCUGAGCUGGGGGCCCGACAUGGACAAAGAUCCACCGCGUAGGCGAAUGUCACUCGCGCUGUCCCUGUGCGAUGCCGAAUCUGUGUUGUCUGCUGGGAGCACAAAGUCUGGCUCGACGUUCAACACCAUGGACCAUGCUGCAUUCAAGGACGGGCUCUCAGCGCUGGACAGUUCAAUAGCCAACCUGCUGAAGACUAUUGAGCUGGAUCGCGGGAGGUCCUGCAUCUAAAGGUCAACACGUUGACUUCUUUUCACAAGAACCCUCGUAUAAGUAUCUGCAUGCUUUUGUGCACUUUAUCUGAUCUUUAUAGUUGUUUUAACACAGAAUUGUGCAGAAUAAACAAUAAAGUCUGCUUAAAGAGCUGAAGACUUCUCCGCUUUAACACUGUGAACACUGACACCAUGCUUGGACCUCGAGCUCCACUCCAUUUUCCUUUUAGGACUUUCUAAUACGCAGACCACAAAAUGUUCCAAAUGGGUUUGUAGUAAGUAAUCUGGUUUCAAACACAGGAUUCCCAAAAGGUUUUCUUUUGUUGCUCAUUCAUUUCUCUGCUACACCAAUAACAGCCCCUGCAGCAGGGAGUGGCUGAGUCUUUAUACGCAGAUGACAUGGCCCUGGUGGCCCACAUAGACGGCAUGAAGGCUCUCGCCCAGAACCAACAGCCACUCAAUGGCCUGGUCACAACCUUUAGAGAGAAAUCUGUAGAACACUGCUCUAGAAAUAAAGCCAAUAGUUGGAGACUUUCUGGGGACAGACGGUCUCCUCCCUGUGCUUUUAAAUACAAUCAGACACAAGCCGCUCCAUCUUCUCGGGAAGCUGAGGUCUAACGGUCACUCACAGAAUCCUUCCUCACCUUCAGCAUCACAUCUUAGCACAACUUUCUCUAGCAAACAGAACAUCAAAUGCACUGCUCAAAAAAAUUAGAGGAACACUUUUUAAUCAGAGUAUAGCAACCUAUCAGUCAAACUUCUGGGAUAUUGAUCUGGUCAGUUAAGUAGC